GACGAACGCUGGCGGCGUGCCUAACACAUGCAAGUCGAACGGACAGGCCCUGCUUUUGUGUGGUGCUCGUGUGGCGAACGGGUGAGUAACACGUGAGUAACCUGCCCCUGUCUUAGGGAUAACUUCAGGAAACUGGGGCUCAUACCGGAUAGGAGCUCCUGCUGCAUGGUGGGCGUUGGAAAGUUUCGGCGGUUGGGGAUGGACUCGCGGCGUAUCCGCUUGUUGGUGGGGUAGUGGCUGUCCAAGGCUUUGACGGGUAGCCGGCCUGAGAGGGUGACCGGCCACAUUGGGACUGAGGUACGGCCCAGACUCCUACGGGAGGCAACAGUGGGGAAUAUUGCACAAUGGGCGGAAGCCUGAUGCAGCAACGCCGCGUGCGGGAUGACGGCCUUCGGGUUGUAAACCGCUUUCGCCUGUGACGAAGCGUGAGUGACGGUAAUGGGUAAAGAAGCACCGGCUAACUACGUG
rnacentral:rRNA from 1 species